rnacentral:misc_RNA from 1 species
AAAGUCGUAACAAGGUUUCCGUAGGUGAACCUGCGGAAGGAUCAUUAUCGAUUUAGCGGACCGAACGUUAGCGAGGUUCUGCGAUCAAUUUAUAUUUAAAACCCACUCUUGAACGUAUAAAAAUUUAUGUAUUAAUGAUAAAAUAAAAAGAUCACUUUCAACAACGGAUCUCUUGGCUCUC